CCAGACUCCUACGGGAGGCAGCAGUGGGGAAUAUUGGGCAAUGGGCGAAAGCCUGACCCAGCAACGCCGCGUGAAGGAAGAAGGCUUUCGGGUUGUAAACUUCUUUUGACAGGGAAGAGCAGAAGACGGUACCUGUCGAAUAAGCCACGGCUAACUACGUGCCAGCAGCCGCGGUAAUACGUAGGGGGCAAGCGUUAUCCGGAUUUACUGGGUGUAAAGGGAGCGUAGACGGCACUGCAAGUCCGGAGUGAAAGCCCAAGGCUUAACCAUGGGACUGCUCUGGAAACUGUGGAGCUUGAGUGCGGGAGGGGCAGGCGGAAUUCCUAGUGUAGCGGUGAAGUGCGUAGAUAUUAGGAGGAACACCGGCGGCGAAGGCGGCCUGCUGGACCGUAACUGACGUUGAGGCUCGAAAGCGUGGGGAGCAAACAGGAUUAGAUACCCGAGUA
rnacentral:rRNA from 1 species